CCUGCCCCUAGAGGUGUUUCAGGUGUGGUUUCUGUGUCUUUUGUGCAUUUGUAGAUGGGAAGAGGAGAGAGGCUAUGUCUACACUCAAUGUUCUGACUUAUGAACAUUUGAAUGAUUAAUAAUCCACAUU